rnacentral:miRNA from 1 species
CCCUUUUUUAAUCGUUGCAUG